AGCUCCAAUAGCGUAUAUUAAAGUUGUUGCGGUUAAAAAGCUCGUAGUUGGACUUUUGCUUUAGAAGGUCGGUCCGCCCUCUGGGUGAGUAUCUGGCUUUUCUUGAGCACCUCCAUGGGGAACGAAACUGCACUUGACUGUGUGGAUCGGUAGCCAUGAUUUUACUUUGAGGAAAUCAGAGUGUUUCAAGCAGGCGUUCGCCUUGAAUACAUUAGCAUGGAAUAUUAAGAUAGGACUGUUAUUCUAUUUUGCUGGUUUCUAGAAUAAUGGUAAUGAUUGACAGGGAUAGUUGGGGGUAUUCGUAUUUAACUGUCAGAGGUGAAAUUCUUGGAUUUGUUAAAGACGGACCACUGCGAAAGCAUUUGCCAAGGAUGUUUUCA
rnacentral:rRNA from 1 species